CAUAGAAUGCCUGACGCGCGACCCACGUGAUUACACAGCACCCUUCGGGGCUGCUGGGAUCUGUUGCUAAACCUUUUGCAACAGAAACAGUUAAUUCCAAACGGAAAACGAGAGUUUCCAUUGAACAAAUUCAGUUCUGGAUUGGAAUGAUUCCGCUGCCUGCCAAUCAGAGGCCCGGGGAUCAGUCUGAUGGCUCCUCUCUCCACGGAAUCAUCCUCUCAGCUCUACGGAGGAGUGUUUAAGCCGGCCAUGAUUUGAUUCAACAUGAAGAGGAACAAACCCCAAGGGGAGGAGGAGGUAUAUAAAUAAUAUUAACAAAGACGUGAUAUGAAGGCAGAACAAAAAAAGACCAUGACCCUUUUGUUAUGAGGAAACACAUGACGUGAUGAAAUAAGAAAGGUCUAGAACAAUACGUAGAGCAUAUAAUGUGUCAUGCCCUCUUACAAAUCAAGUAUCCCUUGAGAAAAGGAAUAUCAGUCCAUAAUGGAUCUUGUCUAAUUUUCACUGACAUCUUUGGAAAACAUUGAGAAGAUCAACUGAGGAAUCAGUACAGUUACAGCACUAAGACUCAAAGUAAGGAGACUGGGGGACUAAGCUACAACAACUCCAGUCACAGCUAUAAGCCAUUGAUAUUUGUAUAAAAAGCUGCAACUAACUGAAGCAUUGACUAAGCAGUUAGCAGAGCUACCAGCAUGUCCCACAGACUUACAAUGCAUCUGAGAGCUGGUCUGGAGCUUUCUCCUCCGCAGGACAGGAGAGAACACCCAGGUUCUCCCUGCAAGCUGACAGCAUCCCCACAGAGAGAUGGGAGACACCAGAGAAGGCAGAGGAGAGGGGUGAAAAGGAUGGAGGGACAGACAAAUGAGACAAAGCUGGAACAUGGAGAGAAAUUAAAAAGGUUAAGUAUAGAGGUGAUAGAAGAGAUGAUUGCUGGUUUGACUGUGUUACGGUGAAGGGUGACGAAAUUAAAUGUCAAUCAGCCAUGAUGAUGAAUAAGUCAGGUGCUUUCUUUCACUCUCUCACUCUCCUCUCUCCACCUUGAAGGCGUCAGCAUGCCUCAGUUCGGCUGGCGCCUAGCUGAACAAGUGUGCUCACAUACUCCCUUAAAACACCUUCGCUUGAAAAACUAGGGGGGAGUAGUACUAUGCCCAAAAUACAAAGUAUACAUGCAGUGGACACUAUAUCCGUGCUUUAGGGCCCAUAAUGCAAUUCCUCAAAAAAAUGGGCUUCACAAGUUUGGCUUCACAAGUUUUCAGAUUUGAAGACAAAUGGAGGAAAAUAUGCAGCCGAAGUCCGACGAGAGUGGAUACAAAUUCAUUGCUUUAACUAAUUAUCAAAAAUGUUGAGCAAGAUUAUAAAGUAAUGCCUUUUCAAAUAAGUUACAUUAUGUUGGCUGACAAUUUGUUACCUAUGCUAUCCUUACGAAACGCAUAGCAUUACAGCAGUAUGUACCAGUAUGUUUGCUAGUUACUUAAUGUUUGUUGGCUACUAAUACAUCGAAAUUGUCAGGCAGUAUAUUAACUAAUCUGCUAUUUAACUAACUACCCAAUGUUUAUUGACUUGAUUAUUCACAUCAUUCUUAGCUAAGUGGUAUAGUUGUUGUGCGUUUCAAUGGACAUUGCUAAUUCUGGCUAUCUACUCUGAUUUCAGAGCACUCUCGCACAGAAUAACUCAACACCUGUUGAAUGUGGCCGUUGUCAGUAAACGUUGGCAAAAAAAAGCAUCCUUAAAUUGGUGCCAGCAGCACAGUUACAUUCACCAAGGCUCUGGAUAACAUGAAAACAGCCUAACCAGCUCUGCUAGGGCGAGUAAAAUGAUCAGAGUGAGGUGUUAGUCAUUUGUUAUGCUAACAAGCUAGCAAGAGGUUGCAUAGCAACAGCAUCAACAUCCGGUAGACAGGCGAAGCUCUAGUACUCUCAACUGAAACGAUACCUUUCGCUUACAGUAUACUAAAAUUAACUAAUAGCAGUGGUGUAAAAUACUACUAAAGUACUACUUAAGUAGUGUCUGUUCUUUACUAUUUAUAUUUUUGACAACUAUUACUUCACCAUAUUCCUAAAUAAAAUUAUGUACUUUUUACUCCAUACAUUUUCCCUGACACCCAAAAGUACUUGUUACAUUUUGAAUGCUUAGCAGGACAGGAAAAUGGUCUAAUUCACACUUAUCAAGAGGGCAUCCCUGGUCAUCCCUACUACAUCUGAUCUGGCAGACUCACUAAACACAUUCGUCGUUUGUAAAUGGAUGUCUGAGUGUUGGAGCGUGCCCCUGGCUAUCCAUAAAUAAAACAAUAAUAUGGUGGUGUCUGGUUUGCUUAAUAUAAGGAAUUUGAAAUGAUUUAUACUUUUACUUUUGAUACUUAAGUUUAUUUAAAACCAAAUACUCUGACUUUUACUCUAGGUAACUCUCACUUUUACUUGAGUAAUUACUCUUUAGUUAUGUAGUAUACAGUAUGUUAGUAUGGGUAUUAGAAGUUAGCUCAUCUCAAAAUAGUCAGAAUUAAUCUAAAAUAUCUCAAGAAAUCUGUCAAAUGUUUACGUUUUUGCCAAAGAGAUAUUAGUCGCGCAAUUCUACAUCUAACUAAGAUGUUUGGUGCAGUAUUUUUCAAUGAGAAAAUGUGCAUGAAAACUAGUUGUCUUUCAUAGAAUGACAAAAGACUUCCCUACUGUUGACCAAUCACCGACAAGGGGCGUAGACUUUGACUCCGAACUUCGACUUGUGUGAACAGCCGAGAAAACCCUCACCGAUGUCCAAAACGAACAAAAACGUCAUAAUAUAUGCACGAACUCUACCGAACUGAUUUAUUACUGUUACCAGUAAUAAUGAAUCUCCAUGGAGGCUAAAUAUGCUAACGUGCAAACGAAAAUAAACUAAUUGCAAAGACAGUCAAUCCAGCUCAAAAAGUUAUACAUAUAUAGGUAGGUGCUACCGAAUGUAAUUUUUUGUGAGUUUGGACAUUUACAAGCGAAUGUGAACGAGAGACAUUGUGCCAAUGAAAAACGUUGACGCAUGCUUGUCUGAAGGAAGAACAGUACUGGCUCUGAAACAGCAUGUGUAGGCCUAAAUGCUGUGUCUGUGUGGAGUCUGGAGUCGCUAGGGCAAAGGGCUUGCCUGCUCUGCUCUGAGAAGAUGGGAAGGAGCAGAAGGGCCGAGAACAGAAAGGAGAAAAAAAUGCAAGGAAAUCAAAAGAUAGCAGUGGCAGCUGUACAGAUAACUCAACCAAAGGGCUUUGACUUCUCAAACAGAAAGUUUACACAAUUCACUAAGCAAAACAUUAAGAAAUACAGCUGGCUACAUUCUAUCUAUGAUAAACAGACAUUUUUUUUUUUAAAUACCUUGCUUUUUCAUUGCAAGCUCAUUUACUUGUGUGGCUAAAAGUAAAAUAGCAUUGAACUUCUGUUGUCAUCUGAUGAAAAUUAAGCUAUUCUCUGCCAAAUGUGUUGCACUAAUGUAUUUUCUGUUAAGGAAAACUACAGUUGAAUUCGGAGGUUUACAUACACUUAUGUUGGAGUCAUUAAAACUUGUUUUUCAACCACUCCACAAACGUCUUGUUGACAAACUAUAGUCUUGGCAAGUCAGUUAGGACAUCUACUUUGUGCAUGACGCAAGUCAUUUUUCCAACAAUUGUUUACAGUCAGAUUAUUUCACAAUCCCACUGGGUGAGAAGUUUACAAACACUGAGUUGACUGCCUUCAAACAGCUUGAAAAAUUCCAGAAAAUGAUGUCAUGGCUUCUGAUAGGCUAAUUUACAUAAUUUGAGUCAAUUGGAGGUGUACCUGUGGAUGUAUUUCAAGGCCUACCUUCAAACUCAGUGCCUCUUUGCUUGACAUCAUGGGAAAAUCAAAAUAAAUCAGCCAAGACCUCAAAUUUAUUUUAGACUUCCACAAGUCUGGCUCAUCCUUGGGAGCAAUUUCCAAACGCCUGAAGGUACCACGUUCAUCUGUACAAACAAUAGUACGCAAGUAUAAACACCAUGGGACCACGCAGCCGUCAUACCGCUCAGGAAGGAGAUGAGUUCUGUCUCCAAGAGAUGAACGUACUUUGGUGCGAAAAGUGCAAAUCAAUCCCAGAACAACAGCAAAGGACCUUGGUGAAGAUGCUGGAGGAAACAGAUACAAAAGUAUUUAUAUCCACAGUAAAACAAGUCUUAUAUCGACAUAACCUGAAAGGUCUCUCAGCAAGGAAGAAGCCACUGCUCCAAAACCGCCAUAAAAAAAGCCAGACUAUGGUUUGCAGCUGCACAUGGGGACAAAGAUCGUACUUUCUGGUCUGAUGAAACAAAAAUAGAACUGUUUGGCCAUAAUGACCACCGUUAUGUUUGGAGGAAAAAGGGAGAGGCUUGCAAGCCGAAGAACACCAUCCCAACCGUGGUGCACUUCACAAAAUAGAUGGCAUCACGAGGGAGGAAAAUUAUGUGGAUAUAUUGAAGCAACAUCUCAAGACAUCAGUGAGGAAGUUAAAGCUUGAUCGCAAAUGGGUCUUCCAAAUGGACAAUGACCCCAAGCAUACUUCAAAGGUUGUGGCAAAAUGGCUUAAGGACAACAAAGUCAAGGUAUUGGAGUGGCCUAAAACUGGGAAUUUUUACUAGGAUUAAAUGUCAGGAAUUGUGAAAACAGAGUUGAAAUGUAUUUGCCUAAGGUGUAUGUAAACUUCCGACUUCAACUGUAUAUAGUUACGCGUCCCUGAUCACUCUAUUGAAGCAAAAAAAACACUUGACUUUCAAUAUAAAAUGCAACCCCUGUCAAUAAACAGCCGUACUCCUGCUUUCUCCCAUUGUGUUAUUUACAAACAAACACGUGACUGGUGAGAGAGCAAAAUUGCAAGAUUAUGUUAUAAUACGUUCAUUGCAUCAAAUGGUUGUUUUAUGCAACAGAAGAGGGUUGUUAUAACUCUAUUGUGUCUGUGUGAACUGAAAAUGGGCCAGACAGGAGAUUUACGAUGUCUUUGGGUGAUACCGCAUUUCAGAGCGUGAGUUAAUGUUUCUGUUCUAUAAGGUACCAGGGAGAGAUGACCCCAGGGCCAGACCCUGGUCUCUACACAAUGACAUACUGUCUGCUGUGAAUUAUAAGUAUCUUUCAUACUAAUCUUAACCUUGUGACCCAUUCUAUACAUCUGUUGGUUGUCAUGAAUAUCCAGGAGGAUGGACUUGCCUGUAAAAAUGUGUUCUCAGUGAUCACCUCCAGAGGUGAUUACCGACCAGCUCCAUUACUGCAGUAAUGAAAUAAUAAAGUUUAAUUGUUUUGAAGAAAUGUAAUAGUUUCUCCUUUCGAUUAUAAUAUUUCCACCACACUUGCGCAACUGUUCUGGGGAACUAUGGUAAGCUUCAUAAUGUAAAAUAAUGUGACAAGUGAAAUAAAGAAUUAGAUCUGCUUAAUCUCCUAACGUACUACACAAGUUGACUGCAGGUAUUUACUUAAAGUAGCUACAAAUAUGAACAUUUAUUGAAAAACUUAAAAGAAAUAGUGUCAAAUGGUAUUGACGGUAUUGAAAAACCAUCCUGUGGCUAUUUCCAAAUGCCUCGGUAUACAGUAUACUGACCAAAGCCCAGUGACUGUUGAUGAUAAAUUAAUAAUUCAGGCUGUAGCCACUCAACAGGGGCUUGUGGGGCAUGUGAAUCUUCCCAAUGCCUGCUCUGACCAGAACAAUCACUUAAGCCCUCUCUCCAAGGGCUCUCAGAGUAAUGUCCACUCUGUCUCUUAGGACUGGUGUAAUAUCCCAUGAAAUGUUUUGAUGAAGAGUCAUCUCUGUUUUUACCAGUCAAAUAAUCAUUUACCAGUCAAAUAAUGUUUAUGCUACCCAGAAGACAAUCCUCUGUUUAUGCUGUCUACUAGUAUUUGCUUCGUAGAUUCAUACGACAUGGCCAUAUUGUACAACCUCAUAGCGUACUAGACGACAGCCAUUUAGAAGCACUCUACAAAUAAAAUAAUGUUCCAUUAAAAUACAAAAUGACCUCAUCUGUGUCUGUUGGCUAAAAUGUAAAUGACCACAGGUGCAUACUGCAUACAGAGACAGAGGUGAUAUAGUGGUUGUCUAGGAGUGUUGCCUUGCUGUUUGCUACAGAUCUUCUCUUUGUGUGUCUCCGUGUCUCUAUUUUCUAUGUCUCCUGACCUGAGCAACUGCACACGAAGAGAGAAGCAGAGCAGAGCAGAUGAAAUGGUCAUAAAGACAACAGGACCACAGGCAGACCUACUGGGCCACAGUGUGAGGCGUUUUGACUGCAGGAGAGACUGUCCACCAGUCAGACCAAUACCAGAGGAGACUUCCCUAUCCGGCCUUUUCAUCCCUUAUCACCAGAGACUCAUCCAUUAAUGCAUGGCUCUGGCUCUGAAAUCUGUCGUAGAACCUAGCAUAUGGAAUUGUUUUAAGAUGGUCAUACCAAGGAUCAUUUAGCUAUUUGAUUCUGAAUUUUAGGACCCCGAUGUAUAAAAAAAUAUAAAAAAUAAUUUGAUGAAACAUUGAAUUUGGCCUUGCUGCUUUUAGCCCAUAGAAACGCAUUGAAUAACAGCUUCAUACAUGGAUAAACAGACUGUCAAAAAAAAUAAUCAAAAGGGAGUUUAGUAACGUUACCCAGCUACCUUCAGACUAGUCUUGUGGCCCUCCUAGAGACCUCAUAUUAUGGUGGGUAGGACCAACACCAAUAUGGCCCUCCUAGAGCCCUCAUAUUAGUGUGUAGGACCAACCGUUCAAACGCUACAGAUGUUUUCGUGAGAAGACUGAUUUUCGGGAUGUCUCAUGGUCUGACAAACCCCUCUCUAGUGUCACCUUUCACCGCAAAUACGGAAGGGUGACGUCUGGAAAAUGCGGUGGAUUUAGACGCAUCCAAUGCAGAAAAAAACCCACAUCUCGAGCUUAAACUGAUGGAUUUUGAUGGGGAUUUUGUUAUUAUGCUAGUUAGAUUUCCACGGGGACAUCGACUCUACGGUUAACCCUUAACCCUCUACAGACUCACCCUCUCUGCUCCCUCUGGGGUCCAACUGUCAAAACUUCUGUAGAAAGGCAUCCAACUCAGAGACUCACACAUACAUAGCAUCCCAUAACCCAACGCUAACAACACACACUCUGACCAUUUGCAUUACGGGUGGCAAUGAUGAGUUACACACAUGGACAAACAAUAUUUGACAAAGCAAAAAUGGAAAUGAUGGCCAAUGGAGAUGUAAGCUAUCUGUGUCUAGUUUACCAUCUGCUGUUGUCUGUAUCAUUUUAGUGCAGUAUGCCUGCUGACUGACAAACCUAGAAUCUAUUUAGUAGCUAGGGUACUGUAGUAUUUAGCUAUUUACCAUGCUGUAAGUGGGCUGUAAGCCUAUAGACGUAGGGCUAGGGGUAUUUAGCGUCCAUCAUAAUUGUGCCUUGUGUGUGUGUCCAGGGUCGUAUUCAUUAGGCACCAAACAUAAGACAACAGACUGAAACAGGCAGGGACUACCUGGACAUUGAUUUCCGUUACAAAAUGUUUUCUGCUGCAUGCCCUAAGGAAUACCACCUGUGUGUGUGUGUGUGUGUGCUGA